GAUGAACGCUGGCGGCGUGCCUAAUACAUGCAAGUCGAGCGAACAGAUGAGGAGCUUGCUCCUCUGACGUUAGCGGCGGACGGGCGAGUAACACGUGGAUAACCUACCUAUAAGACUGGGAUAACUUCGGGAAACCGGAGCUAAUACCGGAUAAUAUAUUGAACCGCAUGGUUCAAUAGUGAAAGACGGUUUUGCUGUCACUUAUAGAUGGAUCCGCGCCGCAUUAGCUAGUUGGUAAGGUAACGGCUUACCAAGGCAACGAUGCGUAGCCGACCUGAGAGGGUGAUCGGCCACACUGGAGCUGAGACACGGUCCAGACUCCUACGGGAGGCAGCAGUAGGGAAUCUUCCGCAAUGGGCGAAAGCCUGACGGAGCAACGCCGCGUGAGUGAUGAAGGUCUUCGGAUCGUAAAACUCUGUUAUUAGGGAAGAACAAAUGUGUAAGUAACUAUGCACGUCUUGACGGUACCUAAUCAGAAAGCCACGGCUAACUACGUG
rnacentral:rRNA from 1 species